rnacentral:rRNA from 1 species
AUUGAACGCUGGCGGCAGGCUUAACACAUGCAAGUCGAACGAGCGGCGGACGGGUGAGUAAUGUCUGGGAAUCUGGCUUAUGGAGGGGGAUAACGACGGGAAACUGUCGCUAAUACCGCGUACCAUAGGAUGAGCCCAGAUGGGAUUAGGUAGGAGGUGGGGUAAGGGCCUACCUAGGCGACGAUCUCUAGCUGGUCUGAGAGGAUGACCAGCCACACCGGGACUGAGACACGGCCCAGACUCCUACGGGAGGCAGCAGUGGGGAAUAUUGCACAAUGGGCGCAACCCUGAUGCAGCCAUGCCGCGUGAGUGAAGAAGGCCUUCGGGUUGUAAAGUACUUUCAGUGAGGAGGCGUUAAUCACAGAAGAAGCACCGGCUAACUCCGUGCCAGCAGCCGCGGUAAUUC